rnacentral:sRNA from 17 species
AACGUAGCGCCAUACCCGAGCAGCAGGUGCAAGGAGGCAGCAUGUUCCUAGAUGUGGUGGUUCUCGCCGGUAUCGGCACCGUUGGGCUGAUGAUUCUGUUUGGUAUCGGGUUCACGUAUUUCGUCUGGAAGGAUGCGAGCAAGAAAAAGCCGCACUGAUCGCCGGACUCACGAGCACGCAAGGCAUUGGGGCGACUUCGGUCGCCCUUUUUUUCG